CCGAUUCAUCUGAAAAAUCCAGGGCAGAUAGAUCUUCACCUGAUCAACAACUUUACUUCCUGUCAGAUUUGCUCUUAAUGCUUUGGUUUUUGAGUUAUAAGCCAAAAACUGCAUUUUACCCCUAUGUUCUAUUUUUAGCCAUGGCGGCCAUCUUGGUUGGUUGGCCGGGUCACUGGACACAUUUUUUAAACUAUAUACCCCAAUGAUGAUUAUGGCCAAGUUUAGUUAAAUUUGGCCCAGUAGUUUCAGAGAAGAAGAUUUUUCUAAAAGAUUACUAAGAUUUACGAAAAAUGGUUAAAAAUUA
rnacentral:lncRNA from 1 species